rnacentral:rRNA from 1 species
AUGUUCCGGCUGUCGGUGCUGCUUCCCGCGAUUGCUGCUUGGGGCGCUGCUUCCCCGUCCAUACGAUCCGUCUCUCCCUUCCGUCUGCUCGAUCUACUGCUCUGCCCUGAUCUGGAGGAGAUUGAUCGGUGCACCCAUCGCAUAGAGCCGAAGGAAGUGUGUCAAUCCAGCAAUACAUGGAGCCGGCCAGCAACCAGCGACGCAACCACCAUUGUCUUACCUGCUCUAAGCGCACUCAAUUUUGUUUCAGAUGGAAUGCAUUCAGCAUACAUGGUGGAAGAGAGCUGCCCCCAGGCCCUCACUACUGAACAACCACACCCACAACAAGGACAUGGAGAUCUUCAUCACAGGGCAAGUGAAGGCAAGAAAUAA